GUCCACGCCGUAAACGAUGGAUACUAGCUGUUGGGAAGUAAUUUCAGUGGUUAAGCGAAAGUGAUAAGUAUCCCACCUGGGGAGUACGUUCGCAAGAAUGAAACUCAAAGGAAUUGACGGGGGCCCCGCACAAGCGGUGGAGCAUGUGGUUUAAUUCGAUGAUACGCGAGGAACCUUACCAAGGCUUAAAUGUAGUUUGACAGAUUUGGAAACAGAUUUUUCUUCGGACAAAUUACAAGGUGCUGCAUGGUUGUCGU
rnacentral:rRNA from 1 species